CGCCUGGGGAGUGCGGCCGCAAGGUUAAAACUCAAAUGAAUUGACGGGGGCCCGCACAAGCGGUGGAGCAUGUGGUUUAAUUCGACGCAACGCGAAGAACCUUACCUGGCCUUGACAUCCAGAGAGCUUUCCAGAGAUGGAUUGGUGCCUUCGGGAACUCUGAGACAGGUGCUGCAUGGCCGUCGUCAGCUCGUGUCGUGAGAUGUUGGGUUAAGUCCCGUAACGAGCGCAACCCCUAUCCCUGGUUGCUAGCAGGUAAUGCUGAGAACUCCAGGGAGACUGCCGGUGACAAACCGGAGGAAGGUGGGGAUGACGUCAGGUCAUCAUGGCCCUUACGGCCAGGGCUACACACGUGCUACAAUGGCGCGUACAGAGGGCUGCCAACUCGCGAGAAUGAGCCAAUCCCUUAAAACGCGUCGUAGUCCGGAUCGGAGUCUGCAACUCGACUCCGUGAAGUCGGAAUCGCUAGUAAUCGCGAAUCAGAAUGUCGCGGUGAAUACGUUCCCGGGCCUUGUACACACCGCCCGUCACACCAUGGGAGUGGAUUGCACCAGAAGUAGUUAGUCUAACCUUCGGGAGGACGAUUACCACGGUGUGGUUCAUGACUGGGGUGAAGUCGUAACAAGGUAACCGUA
rnacentral:rRNA from 1 species